CCUACGGGGGGCAGCAGUGAGGAAUAUUGGUCAAUGGCCGGAAGGCUGAACCAGCCAUGCCGCGUGAAGGUCAGUGCCCUAUGGGCGUUAAACUUCUUUUGUGCGGGAGCAAUAAUGGUCACGUGUGGCCAGACGAGAGUACCGUACGAAUAAGCAUCGGCUAACUCCGUGCCAGCAGCCGCGGUAAUACGGGGGAUGCAAGCGUUAUCCGGAUUUAUUGGGUUUAAAGGGUGCGUAGGUUGUGAGGUAAGUCAGCGGGGAAAUGCCCCCGCUCAACGGGGUGAAGUGCAAUUGAUACGGCCUUGCUGGAAUGCGGAUGCGGUGGGAGGAAUGUGUGGUGUAGCGGUGAAAUGCAUAGAUAUCACACAGAACACCGAUUGCGAAGGCAUCUCACGAAUCCGCGAUUGACGCUGAUGCACGAAAGCGUGGGUAUCAAACAGGAUUAGAUACCCGAGUAGUC
rnacentral:rRNA from 1 species